GAAGCACGGUGUGUAGCAGCGCAGUAAGAAGUGCAGACACGAACGAUUGACUUCAUCAUCAUUUAAUUUCAACAAGAGAAUCAUCUAUGGCCAGUUUAGAAAUUCGCCUUAUUCUACUUACCGUCGUUUGCCUUUAUAUACUGGCAUGCACAACAUCCUUUAUAUCCGCAACAGAGCUUGACGAAGAACAGUGGGAUGCCGACCAACAAGAACACGACGAAGACUUUUUAGAUAGGAGAAAUGCCGCAUUAUUCACCAACCGUCUCUUGUCCGGUUUCCACUCAGGGGUUAAAGACCGCCGGAAUGCGUCCCUGUUCACACAACGAUUGCUGAGUUCUAUGGGACAACGCGCUAGACGAAAUGCUGCGCUUUUCGCCCAGAGGCUUCUAUCGGGACUGGGUGGUCAUAAAAGGAUGCGGCAGUCAAGGGGAAGUAAUCCGGUCGCUGAAGCAUAAGACAUUUACAGGAUAAUUGAAGAGUUUCAGUGAAGAUAUUUUAUGCUUGUAUCAUAUUUGAACACUCCCUUUGAUUUGAUUUUUUUCCCACCUGUAAUUGAAUUAUUAGUCUCUUCAAGUGUAUGAAUUUAUUUACCUCGGCAUUCGCCGUUUUUAAAGGAUUUGGAUCUCCAUGCUACUGCCCGCAGUCUUUCAGUACAGUUUAUAGUGGUGGAACGCCCUCUCUCGGUCGAUGUCAAUGUUGGCUGAGUCCUGUUGACUAGUAUCGAAACACAAAUGGUAUUAGUGUACACGUCAGAGGUCCCUCAUACCGUGUUUGUUUGUUUGUAACCUUUCACUCGUAAAGCGCAUAUUUAAAAUUCUUAGACUUGCGCAAUGUUCAAUUUUACAGUGCGCACCAUGUCACAUCAAGACUCCAUUUCUACUUAUUCAUUAUAUAUGCAGAUAAUAUUGAAAUAGUAUCAAAUAUUCCACUUUUGACAAAUAAAUUAAGGUGUGUGGGAAGCAAUUCCAACUUCGCCAGUGUCAUGAAUGCAUGCAGAGAACUUUGACCUGAACUACUAUGGUGACAUAUGGAAACUCACGUACGAAGCUGUGUUCAUGUCAAAAUCUAUAUUUUUGUCAAAGCUUUGUACAAUGAUAGUUAACUUUCAAUAGCUAGGUUCACUUGCUACUUUUGUAUAUUAAUAACGCCCUGCUUUGCCGUUUUUAAAACGAGGAUAUUCUGUGAAAGUAAUGCCAACCCCCAGAAAUACAAGAUGCCAAAGCAAAUGUAAACAAAAUGCAAUAACAUAGCACUAUAGAAAAGCAGAAAUGUUGUAUUUUUGAUUCAGCUAGAUGGCAGAAAAAAGAUCGACGCGUAUAUGAUUGUGAUUUUAGAAGUUACCCACUUGUUAUUGUUUUGAACACGCAUGCGCAGUCAGCAGACUGGUAUAAGUGACAGCUUGAGCUUUCUUUGUGCGCCAUUAGUAUUUAGUUGUUUUAGUUCUUAUAAUUUAUGUAAUAUACUGAUAAACGAGUGAUGUAUUAAAUUAUGCAUAUUA